GGGGCCGCCCGCCGCUGCUCUGCCCGCUGCGUUCUUUUCGACUUUUUCCCUUUUCCAUUUUUCUUCCCUUUCCUUUCUUUUCCUUCCCUUCUUCCUGAUUAGACAAAUCACCGGACCUGCAGAGAGGUGAAAGACAUGUAAAGACAUAGUCCAGGAACUCAAAAAUGUGCCAAAGGCUUCUAGCAAAAAAAGGAGGAGUUGAGUAUUCAAUAUGAGACAGCUUUGCAACAAUGCAGAUGUCUUCCUGGCAAGAAGGAGACCCCACCUUUGAUGUUUAACUACCAGCAGCCACUGCACAAGGCAGGAAGAGAGUAAGCAAAUCCCAGUGCAGAGACUUUGCAUAGAGAGAACGUGUAUUUUACAUAUGCAUAAUGGGGGUUUAUAAACCUGGAGCAGAAAACAGAAAUGUUGCAUUGAGAAGGUAAGAGCAUAAAGAAAGAAUUUGCCAUCUAGCUGCUAAUAAAAUUCUAAGCUUCACAGACGUUUGGGCCAAAGCCCAUGAAUUAUUUAUUCUUGUUACCUGCAUAAUGUAGGUCACAACCUCCCUGUGUAAUUAGGCUAAACAGUACCUACUUCUAUUUCAGCUCUGUAAUAAAACAUUUAAGGCAACAGUUCUGAUUUCAGGACUUGAAGGAUGGAGAGCUGAAAACAUGCCCAAACUGGGGCUUUCCCUCCCUUCCUCGUUCUGAGCUCUGCUCAUUAUAUUCUGCAUGGAACUGCUGCCUCCUCAGCCUUUUUUUUUGCAGCCUGGAGUCCAGCAGACUGACAGCACUUGCUGAGUACUUGCACAUAGCAAAGUGGUAUUUUACUUAACCCUUGGAAAAGCUAAGCCGACAAGACUUCCUUCUUUCUGUAAGAUUUUCCAGAUUAACUUUGUAGCUUUAAUUGUCUCUGCCUGGGGUCUUUUAGGGGUUGUGUUGGUAAAGCUUCAGUUCAUGUGUGUAAGGUUUAUUCAAUGAUUAAUGCUAAAAAUCAA